rnacentral:rRNA from 1 species
UACGGGGGGAGCAAGGCGUUGUUCGGAUUUACUGGGCGUAAAGGGCGCGGUAGGCGGUCAGCACAAGUCAGUUGUGAAAUCUCCGGGCUUAACUCGGAAAGGUCAACUGAUACUGUGCGACUAGAGUGCGGAAGGGGCAACUGGGAAGUUCUCGGUGUAGCGGUGAAAUAACGUAGAUAUCUGGAGGAACACCGGGUGGCGAAGGCGGGCAAUCCUGGACCCAUUACUGACACUGAAAAGCGAAAGACCAAGGG